rnacentral:hammerhead_ribozyme from 13 species
AUUCUGUCUGUGAGGUCCCCGAUCAGGUACAUUGCUGAUGAGACCCAGACAGGUCGAAACAGUAG